ACAGGGGAGCUGAAAGGCUGAGAGGAGGCUUUGCCUCGACCCUAAACCUGAUGCGGGUAAUACCGACGUAGGGAGGAUAAGUA
rnacentral:ncRNA from 1 species